CGGAGGGUGCAAGCGUUAUCCGGAUUCACUGGGUUUAAAGGGUGCGUAGGAGGGCAGGUAAGUCAGUGGUGAAAUCUCCGAGCUUAACUUGGAAACUGCCAUUGAUACUAUCUGUCUUGAAUAUUGUGGAGGUGAGCGGAAUAUGUCAUGUAGCGGUGAAAUGCUUAGAUAUGACAUAGAACACCAAUUGCGAAGGCAGCUCGCUACACAUAUAUUGACUCUGAGGCACGAAAGCGUGGGGAUCAAACAGGAUUAGAUACCCUGGUAGUCCACGCCCUAAACUAUGGAUACUCGACAUACGCGAUAAACUGUGUGUGUCUGAGCGAAAGCAUUAAGUAUCCCACCUGGGAAGUACGACCGCAAGGUUG
rnacentral:rRNA from 1 species